rnacentral:rRNA from 1 species
AUUGAACGCUGGCGGCAGGCCUAACACAUGCAAGUCGAACGAGUGGCGGACGGGUGAGUAAUGUCUGGGAAACUGCCUGAUGGGGGGGGAUAACUACUGGAAAAGGUAUCUAAUACCGCAUACCAUCAAAUGUGCCCAGAUGGGAUGAGCUGGUGGGUGGGGUAACGGCUCACCAAGGCGACGAUCCCUAGCUGGUCUGAGAGGAUGACCAGCCACACGGGAACGGAGACACGGCCCAGACUCCUACGGAAGGCAGCAGUGGGGAAUAUUGCACAAGGGGCGAAAGCCUGAUGCAGCCAUGCCGCGUGUAUGAAGAAGGCCUUGGGGUUGUAAAGUACUUUCAGCGGGGAGGCGUUACCCGAAGAAGAAGCACCGGCUAACUCCGUGCCAGCAGCCGCGGUAAUUC